UACGAAGGGGGCUAGCGUUGUUCGGAAUUACUGGGCGUAAAGCGCACGUAGGCGGCGAGCAUAGUCAGGUGUGAAAGCCCCGGGCUCAACCCGGGAACUGCACUUGAUACUGGCUUGCUAGAGUUCGGGAGAGGAGAGUGGAAUUCCCAGUGUAGAGGUGAAAUUCGUAGAUAUUGGGAAGAACACCAGUGGCGAAGGCGGCUCUCUGGUCCGAUACUGACGCUGAGGUGCGAAAGCGUGGGGAGCAAACAGG
rnacentral:rRNA from 1 species